rnacentral:rRNA from 1 species
CAAAUGACUCUCAGCAACGGAUAUCUCGGCUCCUGCAUCGAUGAAAAAUGUAGCGAAAUGCGAUACUUUGUGUGAAUUGCAGAAUCCCCUGAACCAUCGAGUCUUUGAACGCAAGUUGCGCCCGAAGCCAUUAGGCUGAAGGCAUGUCUGGCUGGGCAUCACGU